AUUAUAUUGGCAGAUUAGUGCAUUGAAUUUAGAAUUCAAAAAUGUAAAGUUUUACAUAUAAUA
rnacentral:tRNA from 1 species